UUCGGAAUGAAGAUUUUAGUGACUUAGUGGCGGACGGGUGAGUAACGCGUGGGUAACCUGCCUUGUACAGGGGGAUAACAGUUGGAAACGGCUGCUAAUACCGCAUGACACAUAGGUGUCGCAUGGCACUUAUGUCAAAGAUUUAUCGCUGAAAGAUGGGCUCGCGUCUGAUUAGAUAGUUGGUGAGGUAACGGCCCACCAAGUCGACGAUCCAUAGCCGACCUGAGAGGGUGACCGGCCACAUUGGGACUGAGACACGGCCCAGACUCC
rnacentral:rRNA from 1 species